UUAAGCAUAUAAGUAAGCGGAGGAGAAGAAACUAAAUAGGAUUCCUUCAGUAAUGGCGAAUGAACAGGGAUCGGCUCAGCAUGGAAAUUGGGGCCCCUGGCCCUGAAUUGUAGUCUCAAGAUGUACUGCCAACGGAGGCGCAGAUGUAAGCCUCUUGGAAAAGAGCAUCAGCGAGGGUGACAAUCCCGCUUGCCAUCUGCAGCCCCCCGUGCACGGUGUACCUUCUAAGAGUCACGUUCCUCGGGAUUGGAGCGCAAAGUGGGUGGUAAAUUUCAUCUACAGCUAAAUACUGGUUCGAGACCGAUAGCAAACAAGUACCAUGAGGGAAAGGUGAAAAGGACUUUGAAAAGAGAGUUAGAAGUGCCUGAACUUGCUGAAAGGGAAGCGAAUGGAACCAGUGUUGCUUGGCAAGAUUGCUGUGCACCACUGUGAGGGUCUGCUAUGCUAGCGCAAGUGGUGUGGUAGACUUUGAGCAGGACCUGCACGGUGUUUCUUGCCUUGUGUGUCAGCGUCAGUUCGCGCUUGGGGAAGACGUCAAGGACAUGGUAGCCUGCCCACGGGCAUGUGAACGUGCUUGCUCGAACUCAUGCGGGAACUGCACGGUGACGAAAUAGUUCCUUUCGACCCGUCUUGAAACACGGACCAAGGAGUCUAAUGUAUGUGCGAGUUCGCGGGUGGGUAAACCUGUUUGCCCAAUGAAAGUGACUGCUGGGAUCCCUGCACCAGCAACCGACCAAUCAAUUGAGAGAGGUUUGAGUAUGAGCAUAUCUGUUAGGACCCGAAAGAUGGUGAACUAUGCCUGUGAAGGGCAAACUCAGGGGAAACUCUGAUGGAGGCUCGUAGCGAUACUGACGUGCAAAUCGUUCGUCAUACAUGGGUAUAGGGGCGAAAGACUAAUCCAACCAUCUAGUAGCUGGUUCCCUCCGAA
rnacentral:rRNA from 1 species